UAACCGACACGUGCAGAUGUGUUUCGUCUAAAAUAAAUUUUUCUUUCUCCCGCGCGUUCCGUUGUAUAUACGGACUAUUAAGAACUUACACUCAUUUCAACCUCUUAAAGAAGAUAAUCUGGCAGCCUAAUCAGCACUCAGUAAAACUGCUGAUUUUUGCUAAAAAGGAAGAAGAAGAAGUCUUUUCCUUCUUCUUCACUGACGACGUACGUGUAACGUGUAACGUGUAAUUCUUUGCUACGUCUGUGAUACGAUUGUGAUUAUAAUCGCAGUAUUGCCAUGUAAAAAGCAUAAUAUAAAUUUAUUUUUGCAAACAAUCUACAUAGGAAAGACACACAUACACAACUGGAAUAUUGCGUAUAGCAAGCGUUCGCACAAAAAGAACAUUAUUAUCAACUUCAUGAUCUAAUAGUUUCUGUGAAGUAAGAAAAUUGUAUACAUAUAUAUAU
rnacentral:lncRNA from 1 species